UGGGGAAUAUUGGACAAUGGGCGCAAGCCUGAUCCAGCCAUGCCGCGUGAGUGAUGAAGGCCUUAGGGUUGUAAAGCUCUUUCGCCGGUGAAGAUAAUGACGGUAACCGGAGAAGAAGCCCCGGCUAACUUCGUGCCAGCAGCCGCGGUAAUACGAAGGGGGCUAGCGUUGCUCGGAAUCACUGGGCGUAAAGCGCACGUAGGCGGAUCGUUAAGUCAGGGGUGAAAUCCUGGAGCUCAACUCCAGAACUGCCCUUGAUACUGGCGAUCUCGAGUUCGAGAGAGGUUGGUGGAACUCCGAGUGUAGAGGUGAAAUUCGUAGAUAUUCGGAAGAACACCAGUGGCGAAGGCGGCCAACUGGCUCGAUACUGACGCUGAGGUGCGAAAGCGUGGGGAGCAAAACAGGAUUAGAUACCCUGGUAGUCCACGCCGUAAACGAUGGAUGCUAGCCGUUGGGGGGUUUGACCUCUCAGUGGCGCAGCUAACGCCUUAAGCAUCCCGCCUGGGGAGUACGGUCGCAAGAUUAAAAACUCAAAGGAAUUGACGGGGUCAUAGCUGUUUCCU
rnacentral:rRNA from 1 species